GAAAUGCGAUAAGUAAUGUGAAUUGCAGAAUUCAGUGAAUCAUCGAAUCUUUGAACGCACAUUGCGCCCCCUGGUAUUCCGGGGGGCAUGCCUGUUCGAGCGUCAUUACAACCCUCAAGCUCUGCUUGGUCUUGGGCGUCACCCCCCGGGUGCGCCUUAAAAUCAGUGGCGGUGCCGUCUGGCUUCAAGCGUAGUAUUACUCCUCGCUUGGGAGCCCGGGCGUGCGUCUUGCCAAAACCCCAUACUUCUUUUAGGUUGACCUCGGAUCAGGUAGGGAUACCCGCUGAACUUAA
rnacentral:misc_RNA from 1 species